UACGAAGGGUGCAAACGUUGCACGGAAUCAUUGGGCGUAAAGCGCACGUAGGCGGCUUUGCAAGUCGGAUGUGAAAUCCCGUGGCUCAACCAUGGACGUGCAUUCGAAGCUGCGAAGCUUGAGUAUGGAAGAGGGUCGCGGAAUUCCCGGUGUAGAGGUGAAAUUCGUAGAUAUCGGGAGGAACACCAGUGGCGAAGGCGGCGACCAGGGCCAAUACUGACGCUGAGGUGCGAAAGCGUGGGGAGCAAACAGG
rnacentral:rRNA from 1 species